AUUGAACGCUGGCGGCAUGCCUUACACAUGCAAGUCGAACGGCAGCGGGGACUUCGGUCCGCCGGCGAGUGGCGAACGGGUGAGUAAUGUAUCGGAACGUACCAUUGAGUGGGGGAUAACUAUCCGAAAGGAUAGCUAAUACCGCAUAUUCUCUCCGGAGGAAAGCAGGGGACCGCAAGGCCUUGCGCUCAUUGAGCGGCCGAUAUCAGAUUAGCUAGUUGGUGAGGUAAAGGCUCACCAAGGCGACGAUCUGUAGCGGGUGUGAGGGGAUGAGCCGCCACACUGGAACUGGGACACGGUCCAGACUCCUACGGGAGGCAGCAGUGGGGAAUUUUGGACAAUGGGGGCAACCCUGAUCCAGCCAUGCCGCGUGAGUGAAGAAGGCCUUCGGGUUGUAAAGCUCUUUCAAUAGGGAGGAAAACCUGUCGGUCAAUACCCGGCAGCUUGACAUUACCUAUACAAGAAGCACCGGCUAACUCCGUGCCAGCCGCCGCCGUAAUAC
rnacentral:rRNA from 1 species